rnacentral:ncRNA from 1 species
AUUAUAUUUUAUCUAUGUAUAUAGAUUUAAUUUUAUUAUAAAAAAUAUAUAAGUUUUAUCGGGUUUAUAAAUUUUAAAUAAAAUCAUUUUUUUAUCCUUAGUUUUUAGUUUUGGAUUAAUUUAUUAAUAUAAUAUCUAUUAAUAAUAAUGUUUUUAUAACAAAAAUUGUGCCAGCAGUUGCGGUUACACAAUUAUAAAUAUUAAAUUUUUUUGGUUUAUAUUAAAUUUUUUGUCUUUUAAUAAAAUUUAUUUUUUUUUGGUGAAAUAUUAAUUUUAAUUAUUUUAUUUUAUGUUAUAUAUGAAAGUUAUUUUUUAAACUAGGAUUAGAUACCCUAUUAUUUUAACUGUAAAUUUUUAACCUAAUUACUAUUAGUUAUGAUCUUUAAAUUUAAAAGAUUUGGCGGUAAUUUAACCUUUCAGAGGAACCUGUCCUUUAAUUGAUAAUCCACAAUGAAUUUUACUUUUAUUAUACUUAUAUAUCUCUAUCAUUGAAUGUCUUGUGAAGGUUAUUUUCUUAAUGGUUUUAUAACCAAAAUGUUAGGUCAAGGUUUAGUAGUAUAAAAGUAGAGAUGGGUUACAUUUUUUUUAAAAUAGGAUUAUAUUAUGGAAAUAUAUUUGAAUAUGGAUUUGGAAGUAAAUUUAUUUAGAAAAAUAAAUUGAUAUUGGCCCUAUAUUAUGCACAUAUCGCCCGUCGCUCCUAAUUAUAAUUAGGAUAAGUCGUAACAAAGUAGAUUCAUUGGAAAAUGAAUCUAGAAUGAU